CCUACGGGGUGCAGCAGUGGGGAAUUUUCCGCAAUGGGCGAAAGCCUGACGGAGCAAUACCGCGUGAGGGAGGAAGGCUCUUGGGUUGUAAACCUCUUUUCUCAGGGAAGAACAAAAUGACGGUACCUGAGGAAUAAGCAUCGGCUAACUCCGUGCCAGCAGCCGCGGUAAUACGGAGGAUGCAAGCGUUAUCCGGAAUUAUUGGGCGUAAAGCGUCCGCAGGUGGCAAUUCAAGUCUGCUGUUAAAGGUUCUGGCUCAACCAGAGACAGGCAGUGGAAACUGAAUAGCUAGAGUGCGGUAGGGGCAGAGGGAAUUCCCAGUGUAGCGGUGAAAUGCGUAGAGAUUGGGAAGAACACCGGUGGCGAAAGCGCUCUGCUAGGCCGUAACUGACGCUCAUGGACGAAAGCUAGGGGAACGAAUGGGAUUAGAUACCCGUGUAGUC
rnacentral:rRNA from 1 species